AGCAAAGAUAGUGUUUAGUAACAAAUCGAUUCUAAAUUUAAAAGAAAACUUAAAUCAUACCUUAUCAUACCUUAUCAAUCUUUUUAUGUCUUUUUUUAAUUCACAUAUCAAGGUCACAAACACACUAAAAGUUUGAUCCGCCAGAAAUUCAGCUACGCGUGGUGUCAAUUUUAAGAAAGGAGUUGUAUAUUUGAUGUCAGGAACUGUAAGUGGUUCAACAUACCAUACAACUAGUUGCCAGUGGAAUCAUAAAUGGCAGGAUAUAAGCUCUGAUACACGAACAAAACUCUUGGGUGGACAAUUUAAUAAUUGUUAGUCGUAAUAUCACAAAGUCUUUUAUCAAAACAUUCUGUCGAAUGCUAUAAUAACUUAUAACACAAAGUCAUGCAAAAUAGAUAAAUCUUUCAAAAAAGUAUUCAUUUAAAAAAAAAAAAAAAUUUCAAAA